AAAUGAAUUGACGGGGGCCCGCACAAGCGGAGGAACAUGUGGUUUAAUUCGAUGAUACGCGAGGAACCUUACCCGGGCUUGAAUUGCAGAGGAAAGAUCCAGAGAUGGUGAUGCCCUUCGGGGCCUCUGUGAAGGUGCUGCAUGGUUGUCGUCAGCUCGUGCCGUGAGGUGUCGGCUUAAGUGCCAUAACGAGCGCAACCCCUCUCUUCAGUUGCCAUCAGGUCAUGCUGGGCACUCUGGAGACACUGCCACCGUAAGGUGUGAGGAAGGUGGGGAUGACGUCAAAUCAGCACGGCCCUUACGUCCGGGGCUACACACGUGUUACAAUGGCCGGUACAGAGGGACGGUGGCCCGCAAGGUCCAUCCAAUCUUGAAAGCCGGUCCCAGUUCGGACUGGGGUCUGCAACCCGACCCCACGAAGCUGGAUUCGCUAGUAAUCGCGCAUCAGCCAUGGCGCGGUGAAUACGUUCCCGGGCCUUGUACACACCGCCCGU
rnacentral:rRNA from 1 species